AAUAAAAAAAAAUAAUUUAAACAAUUAAUUAAAUUUUUAAAAAAAUUAAUUAACUUAAAUAUUUAAUUUUUUUUGUUUAUAAAAUAUAAAACAAUUAAUUUAAUUUUAAAAAUAAAUUUAAAAAUUAUUUAAUUUAAAGAAAAAUUUUAUAUUUAUACCUUUUGUAUCAGGGUUAAUUAAAAUUUUAUAAAAAUUUUUAUAAUUCUCGAAUUUAAAAAAUUUAAAUUUUUAAUUAUUUUAAUAUAAAAAUAUUAAAUAAAAUAUUAAUUUAGAAACUAUAUAUUAGCCAAUUUUAAAAUUAUCUAGUUAUUUAGGAUAUAAAUUUAAUUUAAUUUUAAUUUUUAAAAAUUUUUUAUUUAAAAAAAAUUUUAAAUUAAAAAAAAAAUUUAAGGGAUAAACUCUAAAUUUAAUUUAUAAAUUAAUUAAUUAAAUAUAUAUUUUUAAAAUAUAAUUAUUUUCACGUAAAAAAUAUAUAAUAAUAUUAUAAAUUUUAAUAUAUAAUAUUUAUAUAUAUAUAUAUAUAUAUAUAUUAAAUACCCAAUUAAUUAUUUUAAAUAAAAUUUUAAUAAAUUACUAAAUUAUUUAAUUUAAUUAUUCAAUUUAAAAAAUAAUGAUUAAAUAAGUAAUUUAAAAAUUAAUUUAAAUAAUAUUUUUAAUAUUAAUAAAAUUUAAUGAACUAGGCAAUUUUAUAUUCACCUGUUUAACAAAAACAUGUCUUAUAGAAAUUAAUUUUAAGUCUAAUCUGCUCAAUGAAAUUUAAAUAGCUGCAGUAUAAAUAACUGUACAAAGGUAGCAUAAUAAUUAGUUUUUUAAUUAAAAACUAGAAUGAAAGAUUUAAUGAAAUAUAACCUGUAUCAAAAUUUAUAAAUAAAUUUUUUAUUUAAAUAAAAAAAUUUAAAUAAUUUUUAAAGACGAUAAGACCCUAAGAAUUUUAUAAUUUAUCAAUAAAUUAUUUAUUAAUAAAUUAUUUUAAUUGGGGCAAUUUUAAAAUUUAUUAAACUUUUAAUUAAUUAAACAUAAAUUUUUGAAUAAUUAAAUUUUUUUAAAAAAAUAAAUUUAAAUUACCUUAGGGAUAACAGCAUAAUUUUUUUAAAAAGUUCAAAUUUAUAAAAAAGUUUAUGACCUCGAUGUUGAAUUAAGAUUAAUUUAAUAGAAAAAUAUUAAAAAUUUAAGUCUGUUCGACUUUUAAAAUCUUACAUGAUUUGAGUUAAGAUCGGUGAAAGCCAGAUCGGAUUCUAUCUUAAUAUUAAUUUUAUAUUUUUGUACGAAAGGAAUAAAUAUUUAAAAUAAUUUUUAUAAAUAAAUUUAUUUAAUUAAUUAUA
rnacentral:rRNA from 1 species